UGGGGAAUAUUGCGCAAUGGGCGAAAGCCUGACGCAGCAACGCCGCGUGAGUGAUGAAGGCCCUAUGGGUUGUAAAGCUCUGUCAGUGGGGAAGAACGGGCGCGCGCCAAUACCGCGCGUUCCUGACGUUACCCGCGAAGGAAGCACCGGCUAACCCUGUGCCAGCAGCCGCGGUAAUACAGGGGGUGCAAGCGUUGUUCGGAAUCACUGGGCGUAAAGCGCGUGUAGGCGGAAAGGCCAGUCUGUUGUG
rnacentral:rRNA from 1 species